UUACCAUGCAGUCGAACGGCAGCACGGGAGCAAUCCUGGUGGCGAGUGGCGAACGGGUGAGUAAUACAUCGGAACGUGUCCUGGAGUGGGGGAUAGCCCGGCGAAAGCCGGAUUAAUACCGCAUACGCUCUGAGGAGGAAAGGGGGGGAUCUUAGGACCUCUCGCUCAAGGGGCGGCCGAUGGCAGAUUAGCUAGUUGGUGGGGUAAAGGCCUACCAAGGCGACGAUCUGUAGCUGGUCUGAGAGGACGACCAGCCACACUGGGACUGAGACACGGCCCAGACUCCUACGGGAGGCAGCAGUGGGGAAUUUUGGACAAUGGGCGCAAGCCUGAUCCAGCAAUGCCGCGUGUGUGAAGAAGGCCUUCGGGUUGUAAAGCACUUUUGUCCGGAAAGAAAACACGCCUGUUAAUACCGGGUGUGGAUGACGGUACCGGAAGAAUAAGCACCGGCUAACUACGUGCCAGCAGCCGCGGUAAUACGUAGGGUGCAAGCGUUAAUCGGAAUUACUGGGCGUAAAGCGUGCGCAGGCGGUUCGUUAAGACAGAUGUGAAAUCCCCGGGCUUAACCUGGGAACUGCAUUUGUGACUGGCGGACUCGAGUAUGGCAGAGGGGGGUAGAAUUCCACGUGUAGCAGUGAAAUGCGUAGAGAUGUGGAGGAAUACCGAUGGCGAAGGCAGCCCCCUGGGCCAAUACUGACGCUCAUGCACGAAAGCGUGGGGAGCAAACAGGAUUAGAUACCCUGGUAGUCCACGCCCUAAACGAUGUCAACUGGUUGUCGGGUCUUCAUUGACUUGGUAACGAAGCUAACGCGUGAAGUUGACCGCCUGGGGAGUACGGUCGCAAGAUUAAAACUCAAGAG
rnacentral:rRNA from 1 species